rnacentral:misc_RNA from 1 species
UACACAACAGAAAUCUGAUGUCUCAAUUUAUGCCAAAAAAAUCAUAAAUGAUCAAUUUUCUCCAAACAAUAUUAAGCAUACAACAUAUAGAGAAUUAAAAAACUGCACUAGAUCCUAUCCAUUUUAUUUUCCAUUAUUUCUUUCCCUUGUCCAAAAUCACAUGCCAGCAAUCCUAGUAUGUGAACUCAAACCCUGAGGCCCUUCCUAGAAUGGCCGCUGGAAGCCUCCUAAAUUAAACAGAGUAUGGAUUAGGGCGGCGUCGCUAAUUCCAGGGAUAUGAGCAUAACCACCAGCAAGAGCACACCGUACACACUGCAACAGAACCAAAAUGUAUGCUAAUCCCACACCUGCCCAAUAAUACAUCCCAUACGUACCUUUGUAGUGUAUGAGAGGAAAGAAGUUGCUCGUAUACCAUAUCAACUGCGUGGCUGUUUCCAACAACAUGCCCAUCAUAAGAUGGAACCUAAAGAAGUGAGGCCACUCUUUUUUCUUCACAAUAUAGGCAAUGUAGCAAUACAGCAUUGUGAACCAAGUUGGUAAUCUUGAGACAACUCCUGGGACAAAAUAUAUCAAAACUUCGAAGUAGUCAUGAUGUUCUAGGAAGGGCUGGAGAAAAUACCCAGCAUCUGACAGCUGCAGGGCAAUCAAAUAGGGAAGACAAGCUAAUGUCCUCCACCACCAUUCUGGUUUCUCAUCUAAUAGUGGGAAGGGCAACCUGAAAAAGUCAUUCUUGUAUGCUCUAGGGAGGUCAGAGGAACUUCGCUGAGCAGGUAAUCUAGGGAUUCCGUAAGAGUGGCUAUCUUGACCUCCAAAAACUGAGGUUGAUGCAGCAGAACGGUGGGAGAACUUUUUUUCUUUAGAAGAGCAGGCAUGCAGCUGCUGAUUAGGGCCUUGUGAACUCAUGCUCAUUGACAAACCAGGCAAGGCAGGAAAGUUAGGUCUGCACAAAACAAUUGGGCUACUUCGCAAGGGCUUACCUGCCCCUAUAAUCUUGGUACAUCCAUCAAAAAUCACAUCCUUGCACCUGUAAGCAGUAGCAACAGUAACAAUGCCCGGAGCAAGAAGCAUAGUUGGCUUGAGAGCUUGGCGAGAGGCCUGAGUAGCAGUGGUGGCUGCAGCUGCCCUAACAGCUAACACAGUCAUCCUCAACUUCUUGUGUUUUCUCUCUUAAAAAUUUCCUUUUGAAACGCUUUUAAAAAGUUCCACAGAGCGAGAUUGAAGAAUCGGAAUGCUGCUAUGCCCUCUGGAAACUGUUUCCUCUUCCUCUGCCAAAGAGAGUUUCUUGUCGAACGAGAGAGAAAGGUAUAAAAGCCCGCGAACCAGAAUUCUCGCGUCGUCUUCUUUUCCCCCAAAAUGAAGUUGGAAGAUGCAAUCUCUGGUUAAGGAUCUCUCGGAAGUUUUGUUGAAAGAAAAGGAUGAAACGAAG